AUUGAACGCUGGCGGCAGGCCUAACACAUGCAAGUCGAGCGAGCGGCGGACGGGUGAGUAAUGUAUGGGGACUGCCCGAUAGAGGGGGAUAACUAAUGGAAACGGUGGCUAAUACCGCAUACUAUCGGAUAACCCAUAUUGGAUGAGCUAGUAGGUGGGGAAAGGGCGCACCGAGGCGACGAUGUCUAGCUGGUCUGAGAGGAUGAUCACCCACACUGGGACUGAGACACGUCCCAGAUCCCUACGGAGGCAGCAGAGGGGAAUAUUGCACAAUGGGCGAAAGCCUGAGGCAGCCAUGCCGCGUGUAUGAAGAAGGCCUUAGGGUUGUAAAGUACUUUCGGCGGGGAGGCGUUACCCGCAGAAGAAGCACCGGCUAACUCCGUGCCAGCAGCCGCGAUAAUAC
rnacentral:rRNA from 1 species